rnacentral:rRNA from 1 species
AAUCAACGCUGGCGGCGUGCCUAACACAUGCAAGUCGAACGAGAAAGUGGAGCAAUCCAUGAGUACAGUGGCGUACGGGUGAGUAACACGUGACUAACCUACCCUCGAGUGGGGAAUAACCUCGGGAAACCGGGGCUAAUACCGCAUAACAUCUUCGGAUCAAAUGCGUAAGCAGCUUGAGGAGGGGGUCGCGGCCGAUUAGCUAGUUGGUGAGGUAAUGGCUCACCAAGGCAAUGAUCGGUAGCCGGCCUGAGAGGGCGCACGGCCACACUGGAACUGAAACACGGUCCAGACUCCUACGGGAGGCAGCAGUGGGGAA